CCUACGGGGGGCAGCAGUGAGGAAUAUUGGUCAAUGGCCGCAAGGCUGAACCAGCCAUGCCGCGUGAAGGUCAGUGCCCUAUGGGCGUUAAACUUCUUUUGUGCGGGAGCAAUAAUGGUCACGUGUGGCCAGACGAGAGUACCGUACGAAUAAGCAUCGGCUAACUCCGUGCCAGCAGCCGCGGUAAUACGGGGGAUGCAAGCGUUAUCCGGGUUUAUUGGGUUUAAAGGGUGCGUAGGCUGUGAGGUAAGUCAGCGGUGAAAUGCCCCCGCUCAACGGGGUGAAGUGCCAUUGAUACUGCCUGGCUUGAAUGCGGAUGCCGUGGGAGGAAUGUGUGGUGUAGCGGUGGAAUGCAUAGAUAUCACACAGAACACCGAUUGCGAAGGCAUCUUACGAAUCCGCGAUUGACGCUGAUGCACGAAAGCGUGGGUAUCAAACAGGAUUAGAUACCCCAGUAGUC
rnacentral:rRNA from 1 species